rnacentral:rRNA from 1 species
AACGAACGUUAGCGGCGCGCCUAACACAUGCAAGUCGAACGCGACAGGGCAACUCUGUUGAGUGGCGCACGGGUGAGUAACACGUAGGUAAUCUCCCCCCGAGUGGUGGUUAACCUUCCGAAAGGAGGGCUAAUACAGCAUAAGACCACGGCUUCGAAAGGAGCUGAGGUCAAAGCGGAGGAUCGCAAGACUUCGCGCUUGGGGAUGAGCCUGCGGCCCAUCAGGUAGUUGGCGGGGUAACAGCCCACCAAGCCUAAGACGGGUAGCUGGUCUGAGAGGACGAUCAGCCACACUGGAACUGAGACACGGUCCAGACUCCUACGGGAGGCAGCAGUGGGGAAUCUUGCGCAAUGGACGAAAGUCUGACGCAGCGACGCCGCGUGGGUGAUGAAGGCCUUCGGGUUGUAAAGCCCUGUGGGGAGGGACGAAUAAGUUUCAGCUAAUACCUGAAGCGAUGACGGUACCUCCUUAGCAAGCACCGGCUAACUCUGUGCCAGCCGCCGCCGUAA